rnacentral:rRNA from 1 species
UACGUAGGGUGCGAGCGUUGUCCGGAAUUAUUGGGCGUAAAGGGCUCGUAGGCGGUUUGUCGCGUCGGGAGUGAAAACGCCGUGCUUAACACGGCGCUUGCUUUCGAUACGGGCAGACUAGAGGUAUGCAGGGGAGAACGGAAUUCCUGGUGUAGCGGUGAAAUGCGCAGAUAUCAGGAGGAACACCGGUGGCGAAGGCGGUUCUCUGGGCCUUACCUGACGCUGAGGAGCGAAAGCAUGGGGAGCAAACAGG